ACCGCCCUCCCGGCGCACCCACCCCCGCAGGCCUGGGCCCUGGCGCGGCAGCCCGGCCUCCGCGGUGAGCCCGUCGCGGCGGCGCGUGGACAGGCAGCCCGCAGAGGCCGCUCUCCGGUGCCGCCAUCAGCGUCUCCGUCCCCGCCGCCGCCUCUCGUUGCUCUCGGAGAAGCAGGUUCCGGCGCCCGGCCCCUCCAGGUCUCUCCUUUUUGUCGCCGGAGCCUGUUCCCCGGUCAGAGGCCGCAUCCCGGGCACGAGGUGAUGUAGCGCUGCAGGUCGUCAGCCCCUUUCCGACGCUUAGACGGCGGGAAACGGCACAGAACUCCUGGAUUUCCAGCUGCUUUUGGAAAUUCGGAGGCUGUGGGACACGGCUUCCCCGCUUCGUUCCAUGGCCACCGCGGCCCCUUAGACACCAAUUGGCACGAACACCUGCUGAGGACCCUGGCCCCACGGGCGGGAGCCUGCACCGGCCGGGCGCCCGUUCAUCGUACACGCAGGUUCUGCGCACCAGGGUGCCUGGCACCGGCCUCGGCGUCAGUUCUGCCUCCCAGCACCGUCCCUUUCCUCGUCCAGGAGCAGAAAGGAGGCUCCCGAAGUCACGGGUGGGUUACCGGCUGGCAAGCGGCAGAGCCAGAUCCAACCCAGGUUCUGCCUGAGCUCUGGCCACCAGGCCCCUCGGCACCUCCCCGACGUGCAGGCCUGAAGUGAGACAACCUGCAAAACGGCCCUGACGUGGGAAGGCGGCAGCUCUCCUGUUUGCUGGUCACUGUUCGCUCUGCAACAGGCUUGCCGCACUCACCGGCCUUUCCGUGCAGGCCUGAGACCCAGCAUUGUGCGAUUCUGUGUAGCCUGCAGUUAGUAUUUUCCUAAAAUGACGAACACGUGCCCUUUAUACAGAAACCUAACCUAGAAACGCGGAGGGCUGGUGAGCUCAGCUCCUCAGUGAUGCCUCUUUCCGCGCGUUUCUGAUUCUGAUUCGUGGGAGAGACCACUGCUGAGCAGAACUAUGAAGGACAAAGUAGAAACUGCAACCACCACAAGAUGUGACCUGAGACUGGACCUGCAGCAGGAAUGACAUCUCGUCUCUGCUUCGGUCAGAUGGAGUCGUCGCUGUGCCUGACAGCGGCCAGGGAACCUUCGUUCUCCCAACAAGCGGAACAAGGAGGGCGGAUGUCAUGCUUUUAAAAAAUGCCAUAUUAAAAAAUUAAAAAAAGAAUACCAUAGUGUAUCAAAAGAGAGAUGUUAAUAGAACUGAUUGAAUUUGACCUAUGGUGUCUGGAGCUGGGAUAUUUAUGUGGACGUGUAUAACGUAAUGGUCAGGGAGAACUCGGGAAUAGCUCUGGGCGGAAUGAGACCAAAGGAACAGGACACCUGAGAGCAGCACGUGACUGGUUUGGCUCUCGCUCAAGGACAUAACUGGGCAGCCGGCAAAACCCAAGCAGGGCCUCUGGGAGAUGAGUUCUUUGUGGUGCUCUCACAACCUCCUUAUAAGUAUGAAAUUAUUUCAAAGUCAGUAAAAGUAACCACCUUUGUCCAAAAACUUUUAUUUACUAUAAAGACAAAACACCAAAAUAGGGCCGCCUGUGAAGAGAAGGAAAACAGCAGCUCCCUGCUCACCAGCAGUGGCGAUUUCCACACGAGUGAGACUUAGUUGGUGAAGCUUCCUACAAAUGAAACCCAUUACAGAAACUCAGAUCCCAAGGUAAUCUUGAUCUUGGCUGUGCUGCCUCACAGAGAACAGUUGCUUUUCUCUGAAUUCACGUUUAACCUGCACCAGAAGAGCAGUGAUGGACUUGAUGAAGGUAGUAGUAAAACCCAAUUUUAAAAAAACAAACAAAAUUCUGUAUUAAAAAACUCUUGCCACAGCAAGAUAUUCAACAAACUAGUUCACGCUUAGUUCUAUUUUUUUUUUUUUUCUGGAUUGAAAAGAUCACCUUUCCCUGAAUAUUAAACAAAAAAUGAAGGUGAAAUGAAAACAUAGAACCAUAAUUUCCAAAAACGAAAUGAACGGGCCAACAGUAAAAUGCACAAUGAGCCACAAUUGCCCAGGCUUUUAAAAAAUAAAGGUCAACUGUGGGUCAUAAAGAAGUUAUCAACUUUAAAAAAUAUAUUUCUUUACCGCUACUUAUAGCAUAGUCUGACCUAAAAAGAGGCAGAUACUGAUUUAUAUUGCCAGUGACAAAAAACUGCAUGAAAGCAGACCCCUGCUUGUGAUUGCGAUACGAAAUGGAAGAGUAGUUGAGACAGUAAAACAGAUCCUGAGCCCCUCAGCUGCUAAUAUUGCUGAAAAAGUGCUCCGAGAGAAAUAAUCAUAAAACUAUGCUUCUGUUACUUAGUCAUGCAAACUCCUUGCUGUCUUGUUGCCGAGGGCCAGUCCCUGAAAGGCACCAUUUGCAGUUCGGCACAGGUGUGGGCUCUGCAGACUCAGCUUAGGUACAGACAUGAUUUGUCAAUCACAUACUUAGGUAAGGGCUCCCCAUGGGCUUGUUCAUAGCUGUUCAGUGGCAGGAAGGCCAGCGGAUUAUCACCGUGGUUCCCACUGACGUGUUCCUCUGACUGAGCAUCCGUCCAUGUGCAUCUGUCUGCACAGCAGGCUACCACGUGGUGCGGAAGACCGGGUGCUUCAGCAGCUCCCUUGAUGGAGGUCUGUCCUGAGGUUGAAGUUCUAAGCAGCGAAGAGCCACGUCGCGUAACCCGGGAGACAAGUGUGACGGGAUCGAUGGGGCGGUCGUCGCACUCGCGAUCUGUGGGAGAAACAACAGGCUGAAGCGUCCCAUGCGGGACUCCUGACCCGGAUGUGCCGGCCGUGGAGCUCGUGGCCUCUGCACAGGUGCCCUCCACACGGAGGGGCAAACCGGGGGACACUCUGCUAACGGUGUGAGGCAGAAACUCGCCAUUGGACGGAAGGAUCUUUCUAAGAAUCCUUCAAACUUUAGGGCAUUAGCACUUGAUCAACUGCAUCCUGUCAGGUGGAUCUGCUCCGUCCCUGACCGUCUCAAAUGCAGGCCAAGUGCAUCCAAAUGAUCAGAGGAGAAGUGCUCACUCGAUGAACUUGCUCUCCUAGACACUGUCUCCGCGGCUCCCUGCACACUGUCUACUGUUUCAGCACAGAGAGCAAGAAAGACUCAGCCCUGCCAGUCAGGCGGCCGAGGAAGACAGGAGGCACAGGAUGACAGGCAGAGGCCACGCACAGGAGUGGAGUGUGUGUGAGUGUCAGUGUGUGUGCUGGGCGCUUUACUCAGGCCUAGGGCUCAUUCUACGUGUCCUCAUCACAGUCCUGUGAAGUAGGUGCUGUAUCACACCCACCUUAUAAACAACCAACCACAACAAAACGGGAGACAGAACAAGGAAUUUCCUGGUCAGUGGCUACCACAGGAUGGAGCAGGGCUGGAAUAGGCCUGCGCGACUCCCGAGCCCAAUCUUUUACCAGCAUGUGGCUGACUCAAAGCUAACAAUCUGAACCACUGCACUGAUCUCCGGUGGAAAAGUACAGAAUGGACUUGAGUUGUCAGAAAGGUAGAACAGAAAGGAUUUGGAAACGGACUUUUUAAUUUUUUAAAAUUGAUUUUGGAGAGAGAGGAAUGGGGAGGAGGGGAACAGAGAAAGGAACAUCAAUUUGUUGUUCCACUUAUUGACGCAUUCAUUGGUUGCUUUUUCUGCCGAUUAGGGAUUGAACCUUGGAGGAUUGGGACAACUGAGCUACCCGGCCAGGGCAAAGGUGUGUUUUUAAAAUGUAGAAAAUAGUAAACUGGAAUCUAGAAAACGUGUGGGUUGUAUACAAUACGUGAAGAGCUUCAAGUUUUUAAAUUUGAAAGUCUGACAGGGAUAUCUAUGUGCUUAUUCCAGUCGGGAGCAAUGGUUCAGUGUUUGCUAAUUCACUGUCUGCAACAACGUCACAGAACGUCACUGCCUGGAGGAGUGAGGCCCGGCUGUCCAUGCGCCAGCCCUGACCUGCCACGGGCGGUUCUGCAGGUGUGCACACAGUUAUUUCAGGAAAGGUGUGCCUUCAUGUCAGACUGACAGUUCAGGAGAACCCAUGAAUAUCUGCUGGCUGCCAAUUUUAGCAGAAGGAAAUCGUUUUUAUCUUGUAAUCACCUUAAAUAUCAAAGCGAGGUGAUUGGAGUGUUUCUCUGCAUUCCAGGGCGGCUUGGCACAGGCCAUCUCUAUGAUGGCACAGCCGACACUCCACACGUCACAGCUCCUCCCGUACUGCUGCCCUCGGAGGACCUAAAAGAAAGCGGAGUUUCACUUAAAACACAGAAAGCCACCCUGUAGUUACGGAAUCUAGUUUUUACUUAAGAGCAAAACAAGGUACAAACAGCAACUCUGCGACGAGCUGAUGUCUCAUUUAUUUCAUUAAAGAGCUUAUUAAUCUAUGGGACACAACAAUAUUUUGGAGAAUUGUGAGAUUCAGAGGAGUCACAAGAAAUCACAGAAUUUCAGCACUGCCCAGUGCACUUAGUAAGCUAUGGGGCAAGAGGGCAGCGAGAAUCACUGUGGAGCGCCAGGAGGCUGACCACGAAGUAGUCCAAGUUCAGAACAGCAACAGCAGCUCCUGCUCACACUCCCUCCUCUGCGGGAGGACAUGCCUCUGUGCUCACCUCCCUCUGGAGCAGAGCGAACAAUGUAAAAAGUCUCUAACAGGUAUACUUUGUUUACUACAAAACAACUGCUAUGAAUUACCCAACAAGACUUCAUUAGAAAUAGCCUUUAAGCAACUCUAUUAAAACCUAUCUUUUAAAAUUUUGUUAAGACAAGAAUGGAAAGGCAGGGAUUAAGGGUGUGAAAUUAAGGAUAUCAUUAAACCUCAUGCUUAGGGUCAUGGGCUUCUAACUGGUAAGCACAGAUUGGAUAACACUGCAAACUAAUUUGGUAUAUUUUCUCCUGCCACACACGAAGCUGCUUCUCACCUCAGGCGCCAUAAAUGCGAUUGUCCCCAGCAACUGUCCCUGAAACUCUCCUGCGCCAGUUCCCUUUGAAGCCAGCCUGGCUGCCGCUCCGAAGUCUGCGAUUCGCAGUCUCUGACCUGUGCUGUCGAUGAGGAGGUUAGCACCUGUCGAGGAAACGGCAAGUGAGCGUGUGUGUUAAACACAAAGGGCAGACGACACACUGAAAUACCAGUGACCCAGGACACAGACGAGGGAGACCACGUGGCAGAGGCUCGGUCGCGCCCCCUCUCGGCUCACUCGUUCCUGCCCAAGACACACAGGUCUCCGCAGGGUGAAACAAGCACCACCUCAGCCUCAGCAAGACGGCUGACGAGGCAUCAGGCACAAGGGGACAGGCGAGUGCUGAACCUUCAAUAGAAUGGUUCCCGGCCCUGGCUGGUGUUGCUGAGUGGAUAGAGUGUCGGCCUGCGGACCAAAGGGUCCUGGGUUUGAUUCCGGUCAAGGGCAUGGACCUCGGUUGCAGGUUCCUCCCCAGCCCAGGCCCUGGUCGGGGCACGUGCAGGAGGCAACCAAUCGAUGUGUCUCUCUCACAUUGACAUUUCUCUGUCUUUCCCUUUCCCUUCCAUUCUCUCUAAAAUCAAUGGAAAAAUAUCCUCUGGUGAGGAUUUAAAAAAAAAAAAAAGGAAGAAAAAAAAAGAA